rnacentral:rRNA from 1 species
AUGCCGAUCUCGCUCCGCCUCACCGUCCCGCCGCCGGCGCAGGCGCCCACACGCCGCCGGGCCCUGGACCCGAGAGCCGGCGGAAAUGCCGUCGCCGUCUCCCCGGUCGUAUUACAGCCGGCGCGCCCGCUCAGGGGAGCUGCGCCCGGGCCAUCGAGCGUGUGGUGGCGCCGCCGGGGAGACGCCGCCGUGUGCUGCGCGACGGCGCACGUCACCGCCGAGACGAUGCGAUGGGUGUCCGUUGGGGCCGCCGCUAUGUUGAUGUUUGCUAAAGGCACAACCAUACACAAAUCUCUCCUUGUCCCUCUCGUUGCUCUACAAGCACCUAAAGACGUCAUCUCAUGGACAAAAGGUGACUAUGGUCAGUGGACCGCUUUUCUUGGGCUUCUUCUGCGUCUGCUAUCCUUGCUUCCAGGUGAACUGGAGCUUCCCUUGUCAACGAUGCUGUUUGUUAGCAUUGCUCCUUACCAAUUCAUGAACUUGAGGGGCACUCAAGACUCUGUAAUACUGUCAUUGGCAAUAGCAGCUUAUCUCGCGUUUCAGCAUUUCACCGGGGCCGGAGGCGUGAGGAAGGCCUUCGACCGUGGAGCGGUAGUUGCAACCUUGUGCAUCAUCUGCAUCACGCUUAUCCCCCUCCUGUUCUUGCUCUGA